UAAUUACUAUCUAUCGUCGUCACUCCUCAUCUAUUAUUGUUUCUUGAGCAGGGCACCGCCAUGGCUUACCGCCUCCUUCCCUCCGCCGUUAAACCUAGCUAUACAACUCUCUUAACUGCAUCACGUCCUUCUACCUUUCCAUCUUCAUCUUUGAAAUGUCUCCGAUCUGCUCCUCUUGUUUCUCAUCUCUUCAUUACGCAGAAGCGCUUGCCCGUUUUUGCUUCUCUAGGCGGUUUCAGCACAGUAGCUUCACCAAAAAACUUUGCUUCUAAUCCCGAUCAGUUGAAGCAUGCCAGAGAAGACAUUAAGGAGAUUCUCAAUGCUAAGUUUUGCCAUCCUAUAUUGGUUCGCUUGGGAUGGCAUGAUGCUGGUACUUACAACAAAAACAUUGAGGAGUGGCCACAAAGAGGUGGAGCUAAUGGAAGUCUAAGAUUUGAAGUUGAGCUGAAACAUGGAGCAAAUGCUGGUCUUAUAAAUGCUCUAAAGCUUCUCCAGCCUAUCAAAGACAAAUACACUGGUGUUUCUUAUGCAGAUUUAUUCCAAUUGGCAAGUGCAACUGCAAUUGAGGAAGCUGGUGGACCUAAAAUCCCCAUGAAGUAUGGUAGAGUGGAUGUCUCAGAACCAGAGCAAUGUCCAGAGGAAGGACGCUUGCCUGAUGCUGGCCCCCCUUCUCCUGCUUCUCAUUUGCGUGAUGUAUUCUAUAGGAUGGGGUUGGAUGACAAGGAAAUAGUUGCCCUCUCGGGUGCGCACACUCUAGGAAGGUCUAGACCUGAACGAAGCGGUUGGGGCAAGCCAGAAACGAAGUACACGAAAGAAGGACCCGGAGCGCCAGGUGGACAGUCUUGGACAGUUCAGUGGCUGAAGUUUGACAAUUCCUAUUUCAAGGAUAUUAAAGAGAAAAGGGAUGAAAAUCUGCUGGUUUUGCCCACCGAUGCAGCAAUUUUCGAAGAUCCGUCAUUUAAGAUUUAUGCUGAAAAGUAUGCUGAAGAUCAGGAAGCAUUUUUCAAGGAUUAUGCAGAAGCACAUGCCAAACUCAGCAACCUUGGUGCCAAAUUUAAUCCGCCUGAGGGCUUCUCUCUAUAAAUACUGAUCGACGAUGGCCGCACCAAUCUGCUAGUCUGAUGGUCUAGAAAAAGAGAAAAAGAGUGCCACCAAUGACUAACAUGGAACACAGAAUUUGAAGGCAUUUAAUGAGGUGCAAGCCAAGAACAAUGUACAAAACUAUAAACACAAAAGCACUUUUUGACGGAAUUACUGUUAAGUGUGGAUUUAGUUAAAUGUUCAAAUAUUCAACUUAUUCACAUCACUGAUUAUGUUUCUGUUUAAUGUGGUUUUAAUGAAGUUUUUUUAGUU